rnacentral:rRNA from 1 species
UACAGAGGUCCCAAGCGUUGUUCGGAUUCACUGGGCGUAAAGGGUGCGUAGGUGGUGAGGUAAGUCGGAUGUGAAAUCUCCAAGCUCAACUUGGAAACUGCAUUGGAAACUACCUUGCUAGAGGAUUUGAGGGGGGGGAUUGGAAUACUUGGUGUAGCAGUGAAAUGCGUAGAUAUCAAGUGGAACACCAGUGGCGAAGGCGAAUCCCUGGAAAAUACCUGACACUGAGGCACGAAAGCUAGGGGAGCAAACAGG